AUUGAACGCUGGCGGCAUGCCUAACACAUGCAAGUCGAACGGGAGCAUCGAGCUUGCUGGCGCAUUCGGGGGCGGAGGGGGGGAACAUGCCUUGAGAUCUGGAAGAAUGCCGGGGAUGAGGUGCUAAAACGGGCGAACAUACCCCAAACGAACAUAUGUCGAAAGUGGGGGAGCUUGGGAUCUCACGCCCUCAGAGGAGCGUAGGUCGGAUUAGCUGGUUGGUGGGGUAACGGCCUACCAAGGCGACGAUGCGUCACUGGUCUGAGAGUAUGACCAGUCACCCGGGAACUGAGACACGGUCCAGACUCCUACGGGAGGCAGCAGUGGGGAAUAUUGGACGAUGGGCGAAAGCCUGAUCCAGCCAUACCGCGUGUGUGAAGAAGGUCUUCGGAUUGUAAAGCACUUUAGGUCGGAAGGAAGUGCAGCACGUUAAUACCUUGCUGUUUUGACGGUACCAACAGAAUAAGCACCGGCUAACUUCGUG
rnacentral:rRNA from 1 species